AGGACUCCUCAUAAAGGAAUGAGUGCAGGUAGACUCCAGCAGAACAGCCUGGGAGGCACAGAGCAAUUUCUCUCUUAAUUCAGGAUGGCUUCUAAGAUUUGGGUUGGCUCUUAAAGGCACAAGAGGAGAAU